rnacentral:lncRNA from 1 species
AGAUUUGAGAUGAUGAGAAAAUUGCGUUUUGAAAGAAAUCAGUAAAGUAUUCACAUUCCUCAUCACUUCAUGAAAAUGGAAACAGAAAAUUAUCUAAGGAAGCGGGGAUGGAUUUCUUGAAAUUCUGACUCAAGGGUGCAGCCUAAAAUAUCAUAGGUAGCGACUAUUGGCAAUCUCUUGGUGUUUUUGCUCCUCAUAAGAGACUCAUCUCCUUGCUACCUCAUCAGUGGCCUUAAAUCAUUCCCGAGGGUUCUUUCUGCUGGAGAUAAUUGUUCUUGGUAGUCCCAUGAGGAUUAUUGAGGAUCAUGUUCAAAACAGAUUCUGGGCAUUGACCCCGGACCCUCUGAAUUAGGGUUUUUGAAAGUGGAGCACUGUAAUGUACAUUUUCAAGUAGUUCUCCCAUUGUAACUCUCUGGUCCGAAAACUUGGAGAAUUGCAGGUGACAAUCAUCCCAACAUGGAUUUAUAUGAUUUUCUGUCCUAGUCCAUUUCUGUUGCUAUAACAAAAUACAUGAGACUGGGUAACUUAUGAAGAAGAGAGGUUUAUUUGGUACAUGAUUUUAAGUCUGAAAAGUCCAAGCUUGGGCAGCCACAUCUGGUAAGGGCCCCAUGCUGAAUCAUAAUGUGGUAGAUGAUAUCACAUGGCAGGAGUGUGUAUGGGAGUGAUAAGCAGAGCAUACAGAGCAGCAGGUCUGUGAGAGAGUCCUAGUGGGAAGAGUCAGCCUUGCUUUAUAAUAAUUUACUCUCAAAGUAACUAAUCCAGUCCCAGGAGAUCUAACCUAUUCCCUCCAGACAGGCAUAGAUCUCUUCCAAGGGUAGUCUCCAUGACCUUAUUAGGUCCCAGGGGGCCCCACCUCUUAAAGUUUCUGCUACUUUUCAAUACUGUUAAAGUGGGAUGAAGCUUCCAGAACAUGAACCUUUGAGGGAAAAACCAUAGCCAAGCCACACCAGUUCCCAAGUGGUGAGUGCUUGGGCCCAGCCUGUCUGUGCUCUCCAAUCUCCAAUUACCAUUUCCCAGGAACAUCACACCUUAGAGAAAUUCUGAUUCCUGUCUUAAGUUGAACCUGGAACAUUAUAUCUCAUCAGUAAAAGAAGGACAUUCUCUCAGACAGCGAGGUGCUUGCCAAAAUAUUCAGAGCCCAACUAGGAGAGGCUUCCCAUGGCCAAAAAUGGAACAAUUUGAGCAUCAACAGAGAAAAAAGGCUACUCUGGACCAGGAUAUAUCACUUACUUUAAAAUUCGAGAGUUCAUCGAUGUUCAUAGCAGCACAAUUCACAAUAGCAANGGAAAUUGCAUGGAAAUGGAAGGA